rnacentral:RNase_P_RNA from 1 species
UCACGAUGACAGAUGAUCGCUGGAGAGUCGCAAGACUCGCCAGAGGAAAGUCCGAACACCAAACGGCAGCAUGCCGCGCAAAACGCGCGGGCGCGAUUCUCGCAAGGGGGGCGCGACGGAAAGUGUCGCAGAAAAUAUACCGCCUGGGGAACGCGCGAGCGUUCGUCAGGCAAGGGUGAAAAGGCGAGGUAAGAGCUCACCGCUCGACGCGCAAGCGGCGAGGCACGAAAAACCCCAUGCGGUGCAAGACAAAACAGAGGAAGGGCAGCCGGUCCGUUAAAUCUUCGGGUAUCGUCGCAUCACGCCGGGCUGUAGCGGCGGUCUAUGACCGCCGACGGCGGCUCGGCGGGCGUCCCGCGAAAGUGGGAUGAGAUAAAUGAUCAUCGCCCCCGGAGAAAUCCGGGGGCACAGAAUUCGGCUUAUCGUCAUCGAAAUGAA